rnacentral:rRNA from 1 species
GCGCGUAGGCGGAUUAUCAAGUCUCUUGUGAAAUCCAACGGCUUAACCGUUGAACUGCUUGGGAAACUGGUAGUCUAGAGUGAGGGAGAGGCAGAUGGAAUUGGUGGUGUAGGGGUAAAAUCCGUAGAUAUCACCAAGAAUACCCAUUGCGAAGGCGAUCUGCUGGAACUUAACUGACGCUAAGGCGCGAAAGCGUGGGGAGCAAACAGGAUUAGAUACCCUGGUAGUCCACGCCCUAAACGAUGUACACUAGUUGUUGGGGUGCUAGUCAUCUCAGUAAUGCAGCUAACGCAUUAAGUGUACCGCCUGGGGAGUACGGUCGCAAGAUUAAAACUCAAAGGAAUAGACGGGGACCCGCACAAGCGGUGGAGCAUGUGGUUUAAUUCGAAGAUACGCGAAGAACCUUACCUGGGCUUGAUAUCCUAAGAACCUCUUAGAGAUAAGAGGGUGCUAGCUUGCUAGAACUUAGAGACAGGUGCUGCACGGCUGUCGUCAGCUCGUGUCGUGAGAUGUUGGGUUAAGUCCCGCAACGAGCGCAACCCACGUAUUUAGUUGCUAACGGUUCGGCCGAGCACUCUAAAUAGACUGCCUUCGUAAGGAGGAGGAAGGUGUGGACGACGUCAAGUCAUCAUGGCCCUUAUGCCCAGGGCGACACACGUGCUACAAUGGCAUAUACAAUGAGACGCAAUACCGCGAGGUGGAGCAAAUCUAUAAAAUAUGUCCCAGUUCGGAUUGUUCUCUGCAACUCGAGAGCAUGAAGCCGGAAUCGCUAGUAAUCGUAGAUCAGCCAUGCUACGGUGAAUACGUUCCCGGGUCU